rnacentral:rRNA from 1 species
AUUGAACGCUGGCGGCAGGCCUAACACAUGCAAGUCGAACGAGUGGCGGACGGGUGAGUAAUUUCUGGGAAACUGCCCGAUGGACGGGGAUAACUACUGGAAACGGUAGCUACUACCGCAUACCAGCGGAUGUGCCCAGAUGGGAUUAGCUAGUCGGUGGGGUAAUGGCUCACCUAGGCGACGAUCCCUAGCUGGUCUGAGAGGAUGACCAGCCACACUGGAAUUGAGACACGGUCCAGACUCAUACGGGAGGCAGCAGUGGGGAAUAUUGCACAAUGGGCGCAAGCCUGAUGCAGCCAUGCCGCGUGUAGGAAGAAGGCCUUCGGGUUGUAAAGUACUUUCAGCGGGGAGGCGUUACCCGCAGAAGAAGCACCGGCUAACUCCGUGCCAGCAGCCGCGGUAAUUC